GUGCCAGCCGCCGCGGUAAUACGUAGGUGGCAAGCGUUAUCCGGAAUUAUUGGGCGUAAAGCGCGCGUAGGCGGCAUGAUAAGUCUGAUGUGAAAUCCCCCGGCUCAACCGGGGAGGGUCAUUGGAAACUGUCAUGCUUGAGUGCAGAAGAGGAGAGUGGAAUUCCAUGUGUAGCGGUGAAAUGCGCAGAGAUAUGGAGGAACACCAGUGGCGAAGGCGGCUCUCUGGUCUGUAACUGACGCUGAUGUGCGAAAGCGUGGGGAUCAAACAGGAUUAGAAACC
rnacentral:rRNA from 1 species